rnacentral:rRNA from 1 species
AAGGAUUCCCCUAGUAACUGCGAGUGAACCGGGAAAAGCUCAAAUUUUGAAUCUGGCGGUCCAAGGGCCGUCCGAGUUGUAAUCUAGAGAAGCGUCUUCCGCGCUGGACCGUGUAUAAGUUUCCUGGAAUGGAACGUCGUAGAGGGUGACAAUCCCGUCUUUGACACGGACUCCCAGUGCUAUGUGAUGCGCUCUCGACGAGUCGAGUUGUUUGGGAAUGCAGCUCAAAUAGGGUGGUAAAUUCCAUCUAAAGCUAAAUACAGGCGAGAGACCGAUAGCGAACAAGUACCGUGAGGGAAAGAUGAAAAGAACUUUGGAAAGAGAGUUAAACAGUACGUGAAAUUGCUGAAAGGGAAACGCUUGAUGUCAGUCGCAUCGUCCGGGGAUCAGCCUCGCUCUUUUGCUCGGCGUACUUCCUGGUCGAUGGGUCAGCAUCGGUUUCGACCGUCGGAAAAUGGCUCGAGGAACGUGGCACUCUUCGGGGUGUGUUAUAGCCUCGAGUCGAAUACGACGGUCGGGACCGAGGAACUCAGCACGACCUUCGGGUUCGGGGCUUCGGCUCACGUUCGCGUGCUUA